ACGCGUGCCCCCCAUCUCGUCUCUCACUUUGUCUCCCUCUUCAGAGAUGACCUAAGCAGAACCGUAGUGGCGCUCCUAAACUCUCCACUAUACCGUGGCGGUGCCACCACCAAUCGCUCCCAAAAUUUACACCAUAGUACCCUCUCACUCUCCUCUUUCCCAAUCCAUAACCCGUUUUCCUCGAAUCACCCUAGAAUUUUUUGAAUCUUGAUUUGAAGUUCGAACCCUAAAAUUCUAAAACCCCAGAUCGGCGGGUUUAUUUUGAGAUAUAAGGUGGAAGGACAUUAUUCGUGUGUUUCCAUUUGGGAACAUACGAUUAAGGUCUACUCCAGUCAAUAAUCAAAGUUUCCUUCCAAGUUGGUUCAAGACUGUUUGCCACUUGGUUCGAUAGGUAUUUCUGGUAUUUCCUCUUUUUUCUUUUUUAUUUCUUCUUCUUCUUCUUCUUCAUCUUCUUCUUCUAUUUUCUUCUUUUUCUUCUGUUUUAUCAAAUCAUCUUUGCAUGUGUUUCUUUUAAUUUAGGUUGCAUGUUAAUUAGUUUUGUUCUCUAGUUUAGUUUGGUGUUUGUCCUUUUUGUUUUUGGGCUAUUGAGAGCAUUUGAUUCAGAAUUUCGAUUGAAUCCAAAUUGCCUUUUACUUCCUCGAAUCUUCUGUUUGAAGUUUUUGAUUUGGAUUUGGGCCCAAAGGAAAAGAAAAGAUUGGCUCAGGUUUUUUUAAAACUCAUACUGGCUUAAAUCAUUGGGUCGAAAUGACCCAUGAGAUUUCUAAGGUAAUUAGCAGGGUCUUAAGGAGUAGCUUAGAAAUUCUAAGUAGGAGAAUCUUAUAAGUGCAAAAUUGUUUUCAACUUUGCUGCCCUAAUACCUUGCCUAUAAAGGCACCAUUUCUUCUUAAACAAGGUAGAGUUUUAGAGAUAGAAAAACACUAAAAAAUAACAAAACGGCUAGAUCAUUUUGAAGCUCUGAAAACAUUGAAAUUUGCAUAGAGUUGUCUGGUUCUUAAGUCCCCUUAGUCCGAUUUUUCAAAAGCUCUGAAACUGGUAUUAAUUCUGGGGUUUCGGAGCUCGGUUAAAGGCCGGAUAAUUGUUGUUUGCUUGGCUAUUUUCUAUUGCUGAUUAUUGCUGUUGUUUCAUCUUAAAUUCUUCAGCUUAUUUACUUUGUUUGUUGCUGCAAUACGGAUUCAUCCAACCUCAAAUGGCGUGUUAAAGUGGAAAUGAAAUGAGAAUGAUAUCAUGUUUCAUAACAGUUUAUCUUAGAGUAUUUUGGUUUCAUGUUCAUUAAAGUCUUGUUAUGUGUUUAUAUGCUCAUUAAAUUGUUACUAUUAAGGCAUCUAUAAAUUUAUUAAGCUCAUUUGAUUGUUGUGUUUUGAGUUAUGAGCUGAUACAGAUUGUUUUUAAAUAUAUUUGACCUCUGCUUUAGUAUUGUUGGUUUCAAUGCGAGUAUGGUAUUCAGAAGUUGAACAUGAGGUUUUGUUAGUAAAGUUGUGGUUGUCUGCCUUUGUUAAAUAUUAGUUUAGGCCUUUGAACAAACUUAGCAUAUGUUAUUGUAUUUUGAUAUGCUGACUCGAAUGGCUUGAGUACUAUGUUGAAACUAUCAAAGAUGCUGCCUCAAAUGAUGAUUAGUAGUGAUUUUGAUUUUCAGAUUCCCUAUAGUUUUCAUGUUCUUUUAGAAUGAAAAGUUUUCGUUUUCUUGAAAAUAAAAGCAUGCUCUUGGCCCUUCUUCAUCAUAAAGGCUUGUGGUAUAGCUAAAAGAUUUAGGUUUUAAUUUCAUAACAAUGUCAUUUGUUUUGUCUUCAAAUGUAUGCUAAAAAUGCAAAGUGUUGAGGCUGCUGGGCUUAACUUGAAGCCCAGAGAAGACCGGUCUGUAGCCAUGAAUUUUGGUUCUCGUGUGGGUUCAAUAUGUUAUCUCCGGGUUUUCAGUAUUUGUCCAUAAUCUUAAAAGAGCUUGAUUAAUUCAAAGGACUAGGUUUUGAUAGAAGUCCCUUUUAAAGACAUUAAUUCAACUUUCAGGUGUCUUUGGCUUUUAUUAAUCUGUGUUUAACAAAUUUUUGUACAACUUAUUGUUUUGUGAUUUGGACUCGACAUUGGCCCAGUCAGCAUAAAGAAUUUAACCUCUUGGACUGCCCAUCACCCACUUUUCCUCUUGGGUCUUAUUCCAGUCCAGAAGCCCAGCAACCGUUUGUAAAUAAUAGCCCUACAAUCAACAACUUUUAGUUAUGGUCCUAAAAAGGAUAAUUCGUUUACUUAGAUGGGGCAUGCCGUAUCAGAUAAAUAGUCUAUGGCCCUCAAAAGCUUAGCUUGAUUUUUUUUUAUAAUUCGAAUCGAGGUGUGCCGUGUCAAAUAAAAUCUCAAAAAGCAUGGCCCUCACUUAAUUAAUUUUAAAUCCUUACAAAUUGAGGUGUGCCAUUUAGUUGAAUUUUCCAUGGCCCUCGCAAAGUUGAAAAUAUAUAGUUGCUUUAGGCGCAUAACUUAAAAUUACCUUCCUAAGCUCAGGUGUGCAUUUCAUGUGACCCAAAUCUAAAUCUCAACAAUGUUAAAUAAAAUAUGUCGUGUAUCGCGGGUGCAUUUCAUGUGGCGCAGUUCAAAGACAUGUUUUAGAUAACAUUGAAUCUUUCCCAAAAAUAGUCAAAAGCGGUUUAAAAAAUUAAAAUAUACCAUAGGCUAAAACAUGUACUAAAAUCAGAUAAUGAACCAAUUAUGAUAGUUUAAACGACGUUGCUGAAACCACAGAAUCCGGGGAUGCUUAACACCUUCCCUCGGGUUAAUAGAAUUCCUUAUUCAGAAUUUUAGGUUCGCAGACUUCAAAAGAAAAGUCGAAAUCUUCCUCGAUUUAGGAUUUAAAAUAAGCCAGUAACUUGAGACACUAGAAAAUAAACCAUCACAAUUGGUGACUCUGCAUAAAUAAAUAAAUAAUUCCAUUUCGAAUGACGUCAUUUUAAUUAGAAAAAAACCCUUUAUACUCCCCUUGGGUGUGUAAACAAGGAGGUGUGGUAGUCAUAUUUAUCACAUACAUGUGACCCGGUAGUUUUCUAUAAGAUUUGUGUGGUAUCCCUCUUAGUAGUUCAAACGCCUUUUCUUUGGUUCUAUAAGCUUUUACGUAACUCAUAUUAAUCUCGUACUGUUAUUUCAU
rnacentral:lncRNA from 1 species